rnacentral:rRNA from 1 species
UUAUGGCUCAGAACGAACGCUGGCGGCGCGUUUAAGCAUGCAAGUCGAGCGGCAAGGGCCUUCGGGCCCCUAGAGCGGCGGACGGGUGAGUAACACGUGGACAAUCUGCCCCCCGGCCCGGGAUAGCCCAGGGAAACCUGGAUUAAUACCGGAUGAGACGGGACCCGCGAUGGCGGGAUCCGGGAAAGGCGCUGCGGCGCCGCCGGGGGAUGAGUCUGCGUCCCAUUAGCUAGACGGCGGGGUAACGGCCCACCGUGGCGACGAUGGGUAGCCGGCCUGAGAGGGUGGACGGCCACAUUGGAACUGAGACACGGUCCAGACUCCUACGGGAGGCAGCAGCUAAGAAUCUUCCGCAAUGGGCGAAAGCCUGACGGAAGCGACGCCGCGUGAACGAAGAAGGCCGUGAGGUUGUAAAGUUCUUUUCGGGAGGGGGAACAACCGUGGCAGGGAAUGGCCGCGGGAUGACGUGAAUCCCGGAAUAAGCCCCGGCUAACUACGUGCCAGCCGCCGC